rnacentral:rRNA from 1 species
CCUACGGGAGGCAGCAGUGGGGAAUAUUGGACAAUGGGGGCAACCCUGAUCCAGCCAUGCCGCGUGAGUGAUGACGGCCUUAGGGUUGUAAAGCUCUUUUCUCCGGGACGAUAAUGACGGUACCGGAGGAAUAAGCCCCGGCUAACUUCGUGCCAGCAGCCGCGGUAAUACGAAGGGGGCUAGCGUUGCUCGGAAUCACUGGGCGUAAAGGGCGCGUAGGCGGCUAAUUUAGUCGAGGGUGAAAGCCUGUGGCUCAACCACAGAAUUGCCUUCGAUACUGGUUGGCUUGAGACCGGAAGAGGACAGCGGAACUGCGAGUGUAGAGGUGAAAUUCGUAGAUAUUCGCAAGAACACCAGUGGCGAAGGCGGCUGUCUGGUCCGGUUCUGACGCUGAGGCGCGAAAGCGUGGGGAGCAAACAGGAUUAGAUACCCUGGUAGUCCACGCUGUAAACGAUGAAUGCUAGCCGUUGGGGUGCAUGCACCUCAGUGGCGCCGCUAACGCAUUAAGCAUUCCGCCUGGGGAGGUACGGUCGCGAGAGUAAACUAACUAAGUAGUUAGUUAGUGUUGNGAGNGCGACGACGACGACGAGGAGGAGGAG